rnacentral:rRNA from 1 species
GACGAACGCUGGCGGCGUGCUUAACACAUGCAAGUCGAACGGUGAAGCACCUUCCUUUUGGUGGGUGUGGAUGAGUGGCGAACGGGUGAGUCACACGUGAGUAACCUGCCCCCUUCUUCUGGAUAACCGCAUGAAAGUGUGGCUCAUACUGGAUAUUCUGUGCCUGCUGCAUGGUGGGUGUGGGAACGAUGCGCUUUUGGGUGUUUUUGGUGGCGGAUGGGCUCGCGGACUAUCAGCUUGUUGGUGGGGUGAUGGCCUACCAAGGCGGUGACGGGUAGCCGGCGUGAGAGGGGGGACGGUCACACUGGGACUGAGACACGGCCCAGACGCCUACGGGAGGCAGCAGUGGGGAAUAUUGCAAAAGGGGCGCAAGCCUGAUGCAGCGACGCCGCGUGAGGGAUGGAGGCCUUCGGGUCGUAAACCUCUUUCGCAAGUGAAGCAGGCCUGUCCAUUGUGGGUGGGUUGACGGUAGCUGGAUAAGAAGCGCCGGCUAACUACGUG